rnacentral:rRNA from 3 species
AGACCCGAAACCCGGUGAUCUAGCCAUGGGCAGGUUGAAGGUUGGGUAACACUAACUGGAGGACCGAACCGACUAAUGUUGAAAAAUUAGCGGAUGACCUGUGGCUGGGGGUGAAAGGCCAAUCAAACCGGGAGAUAGCUGGUUCUCCCCGAAAGCUAUUUAGGUAGCGCCUCGUGAAUUCAUCUCCGGGGGUAGAGCACUGUUUCGGCUAGGGGGCCAUCCCGGCUUACCAACCCGAUGCAAACUGCGAAUACCGGAGAAUGUUAUCACGGGAGACACACGGCGGGUGCUAACGUCCGUCGUGAAGAGGGAAACAACCCAGACCGCCAGCUAAGGUCCCAAAGUCAUGGUUAAGUGGGAAACGAUGUGGGAAGGCCCAGACAGCCAGGAUGUUGGCUUAGAAGCAGCCAUCAUUUAAAGAAAGCGUAAUAGCUCACUGGUCGAGUCGGCCUGCGCGGAAGAUGUAACGGGGCUAAACCAUGCACCGAAGCUGCGGCAGCGAACGUAUCAC